ensembl:lncRNA LINC01618 long intergenic non-protein coding RNA 1618
GGGCACGGCCGUCCGCCCCCUGGGCCGCCGAGGGCUGCUUUACCCCUCCGUUCUGGCCGCGGGCAGCAGAGGAGCUCGGGGCGGGCAAAGCUCGAGGGGACACGGGGCGAGCCCAGACCCUGCCUGGGAGCCCUCCCCGCCGGAGACCAAAGGGCAGAAACGCACUCACAGUGCAACUCCGAGGGAUAAACUGGCCGACGAUCGCCGCCAGGCCAGAAGACCAAGAAGAAGGCUCGCGGCGGGAACUGAAACUCCUGAAGACUCUCGCUUUUAGCCAUAUGGGUGAAGGGUGAUCUGCACAUCCAUUCAUGCUCUUAAUCAGACAACAGAUCCAAGGCCCGACACUGCUGUAACCAUCAGCACAUGCUUGAAGAUGAUGCUGACACAGAGGACAGCAAAGCCAGUCAAGUCACAAGCACAUGGAGUCAUAGGCACUGGAUUUAAUACUUUUGAAGCAGGUUCUACUUCAGGACUUUCAGUGAGGUAAAUCGAUCAAUUUCCAGCACUGGUGGUCCGGUUCCUCACCAAACGAUUCAUCGGUGACUAUGAAAGAAAUGCAGGUAAUCUCUAUACUAGACAAGUUCAGAUAGAAGGUGAAACCCUGGCUCUUCAGGUUCAAGACACUCCAGGUAUUCAGGUCCAUGAGAACAGCCUGAGCUGCAGUGAACAGCUGAAUAGGUGCAUUCGCUGGGCAGAUGCUGUGGUGAUCGUUUUCUCCAUCACUGACUACAAGAGCUAUGAACUCAUCAGCCAGCUCCACCAGCACGUGCAGCAGCUACACCUGGGCACCCGGCUGCCUGUGGUGGUCGUGGCCAACAAAGCUGACCUGUUGCACAUCAAACAGGUUGACCCUCAGCUUGGACUGCAGCUAGCCAGCAUGCUAGGCUGCUCAUUCUAUGAAGUGUCUGUCAGUGAAAAUUAUAAUGAUGUCUACAGCGCCUUCCACGUCCUCUGUAAAGAGGUCAGUCACAAACAGCAGCCUAGCAGUACACCCGAGAAGCGAAGAACCUCCCUCAUUCCCAGGCCCAAGUCACCCAACAUGCAGGACCUGAAGAGGAGGUUUAAGCAAGCCCUCUCUGCCAAAGUGAGGACUGUCACCUCCGUCUGAAGCAGGAGGAGCACUCAAGGGGGUUUGGUCUUCCCAGGAAGAGGGCCUGAGGUUCUCCUAGUGCAGGAACGUUGAAUAUUGGCAAUGAUUCCUGGUUCCAGAAAGGGCUGGAGCAGAAGGGCCAAGAGGGCCUGUGGAACUGCUACAGAAAAGGAAGUGUUGUUCUGAGCAGGGGGACAGGAUUGAUGAGGCUUGAAAGAGCCCACUGAGCCACUCUCUGAAUAUGUGAAAUGUACUCUGUGUCUUUUCCUUUAGAGUGGGGAGGGGGCAUAAUCGUUUCGGUUUCUGCAUUCAACUACCUUGUAAAUGGUGGUCCGUUGCAGUUUCACCAAAUGUAUUGAUGUGAUUUACAGUGGGAAUGAAAGAACAGAUUAAGCAUUGAUAGGCUUUCUUUUUUCCCCCUUUUUUCUUUUUUCUCUUUUCUUCUUUCUUUUCCUCUUUUUCCCCAAGAGGAAGAAUUGCUUUUCUCUUACCAGUAUGAUUUGUAACUCUGGAACACUAUUCUUACAGAAUGCCUUUCUAACCUGAAGGAUACCCAGAUUUCUUUCUUUAUGUACAAGAUGGAAAAUCCCCUACCCCUCAAAAACAGGUUGAGUUUAUGGGCCAGAAUAUUUUGUAUACCAGACAUUGGUAAGCUCUCAUGGUUUACAGGAAGGCUCUGGUUCCCCCUCACAGGAUGAGCAUGCUCAGUUGGGCGUGUGUGGAGGAGCUGUGAACUUCACGCUCUUCAACCCCAGACUUUGACUGUAUAGUUUUUUGUUUUUUUAACUGUUCCAUCAGGAAAAAAAUGUGUCAGUUGAUUUUGGUGUGACUUGUGUAAAUGGUUCAUGGCAAUGACGUUGGGUUGCUUCCUAGGCCUGGCUGAGUUGUGCCUAAGGGUGGCUGAAAUACUAAAACACUUAUCUUACAGCAAGUGAACAGGGGCUACCUGCCACAUCCCCUCCACAGAUGCACUUUAAAAAGCCACUCAUGCUUUGGCUUAAACUGUAAUUAAUUUAUUUUA